UCAAACAGUACAGUAGGUGCAGCUAUUGUCAUACAAAGAAGGCUUUGCUUACUUAUCCACACCAAAAGAAAUGAUUUUUCUCAAAGAGCGAUGGCAGAACAACUGAAAAAGAAAACAUCAGAUUUUGCUGACAAUGUAUCUGAAGAAGUCCUCAAUCAACUUCUGUACCAUCUUCUCGAGGAUGGCAUCUUAAAUGAUGGCGAGGUACAGCACAUAAUUCAGGCGAACCAGACCAGAGCAAACAAGGCACGUGACCUCAUCCGUACAGUGAGGAUGAAAGGUGACGAAUCCAGCUGGAGGAUGAUCAAUUGGAUUAAAAGCAGAGACCCUAAACUUGCAGAGCGUCUGGGUCUGAACUUGAUUGAACCGAUGGACAUGAGAUAAGGAACAAAAUCCUGGCAUCAAUUGUAAUCUCCAAGUCACUCGAUUGUUCUACUUCUAUCUGGUGCUAAACAAUCCCAGCAAUGUCCACAUAAAGUUUCAUUCACACCUUGAGAAUAAUAACCAUUGGAAAUCUG